GGAGGCGUGUCCGAACUGGCUAAGGAGCCGGUCUCGAAAACCGGUGGGCCGCAAGGCCCUUGUGGGUUCGAGUCCCACCGCCUCCGCCA
rnacentral:tRNA from 5 species